GACGAACGCUGGCGGCGUGCUUAACACAUGCAAGUCGAACGGAAAGGCCCUGCUUUUGUGGGGUGCUCGAGUGGCGAACGGGUGAGUAACACGUGAGUAACCUGCCCUUGACUUUGGGAUAACUUCAGGAAACUGGGGCUAAUACCGGAUAGGAGCUCCUGCUGCAUGGUGGGGGUUGGAAAGUUUCGGCGGUUGGGGAUGGACUCGCGGCUUAUCAGCUUGUUGGUGGGGUAGUGGCUUACCAAGGCUUUGACGGGUAGCCGGCCUGAGAGGGUGACCGGCCAAAUGGGGAAGGAGAUACGGCCCAGACUCCUACGGGAGGCAGGAGGGGGGAAUUUUGCAAAAGGGGGGGAAGCCGGAUGCAGCAACGCCGGGGGGGGGAUGACGGCCUUGGGGUUGUAAACCGCUUUCGCCGGUGACGAAGGGGGAGUGAGGGAAAUGGGAAAAGAAGCCCCGGCUAACUACGU
rnacentral:rRNA from 1 species